CUUGAAUUUUGUUGAUAAUAACUUGCAAACCAAUAAUUUAGCUUAUUCUAUACAGCUUUUGAAAAUUAUUACGCGAGGUAGUCCAUUAUAACUGGGGAGAAAGCAUUAUACAUAACGUAACAACCUUGUAUAAAGUGUAUAAAAGGUGCUUAUACACAAUUAUGAGCAUAAUCGGGUAACAAACUCAAAGUAUGACUACGUAGUGUAAAUAUUUCUCCCAGUAGACAGAGAGUGUAAGUUUCCCAAAAAACGUAAUAUGUAGAGUUAAUGGUCAAAAUCACCUGAAUUAUGCCAAUUAUUAGUUGUUCCCUUUUUUUACCUGAACCAUCACCGUCUAUGUAAUUAAACACACUUUGAAGCUGACUAGGCCAACUAUCAGUUAGUUCCGUUUUCCUACUGGACUAUCACCAUCUAAUCAACUAGGUGCGUUUUAAUACAAAGAUGGUGAUAAUUCAGAUAGGAGAAGGGACAAUGGUGAUAGUUCAGGAAGGAAAAGGGAACAACUUAUAGUUGGGCUGUGAAACUUGCAAAAAAGUGAUAGUUGAGAUGGAAGUGUUGAGUGCUAGAGGUGAUCUGAUGCAUAGCUGCAAGCCUACUUCUCCUAAUGUAAAGCGGUUGAAGUUUGUAUCAUGCAGUUUCAAAUCCCACUUAUAAUACCUGGGCUACCAUUCAAUAUUUUUGUGAUGGAAGGAUGAAAAAUAUGUUUCGCUUUGUUUUUUUUUUCUCUUUCCCUUGUAAGAGCCUGUUUGGAUGGGCUUAUGACUUUCGACUUAUAAGCCAAAAGCCAUAAGUUAGAAAUGCUAGCUUGUGGCUUAUUUUUGUCAUUUUGGCUUAAAAACAAGUGCUUAAAAGCACUUUUUUAUUUUACCCAUACACUACAAAAAUGCUUAAAAGCACCUAAAAUAAGCCAAUCCAAUCAGGCUCUAACU